UCCUAUGGCGUGCAAUUAUCAUCUCGUUGCAAUCUAUGGCUAGUCAGCUAGGAGAUAGCGGUUAAACUCACUUCACUAGCAUCAUAAAUAAGGAGUAGACUUGUUGCAAUCUAGUUAUUAUACGGAGCAAAAACUACAAGUGUUCAUUAUGUACAACUAAUAGAAUGAGUUACAUAAAAAACGGCCAUACGCUAACAGCCAUAAUAAACUAAAAGUCAGUGUAGCUCCCAACUCACCAACGAAUGGUAUGUAACAUACAUCCACCCAAAUACCAAAGCAGGAAAAAAAGAUCUUACUACCAAAACUAUAGCUGCUCUUCAUUCUGCCCAAAUGAGGCAUCUGCAAACAGCUUGCACCGCCAUCAAUGGCUCCCUUUGUUGUCUAACCAGCUCUGCAAGCUAUACAAGGCUUCUGCAGAGAAGCUGCAGCUCCUUAAUCUCCUUUGACGCAUUGGUGAUAACUCUUGAUGAUCAGGGGAAGUAAAGCAUACAAGUGAGAUUGUCAAAUGUAUUGAGCCGCAAGGCCUCCAUGACAAGGUCCUUGGCACACAGUUCAGGAUCAUCAUGCCGUCUUUAUCCCUCGACGCACUAAACUAACUGCUUGUUGACUAGACAAGACAUCCCAGAUUCAAGCUAAUAAGGAAUUCAUCAUCCUCUGUCAGAACUAUCUGUCGAAAUUCUGGCUCUGCAAUCAGAGGAGAGGCAGAGCCACGAGGCAGCUUCAUGUCCCAGUCCCCCAAGGUGGGCUGAUAGUAUACAUUAAGAUAGCCAUCAUCAAUAAAUCCACCUUCAACACGCCUCCUCUCUGAUGGAUAAUUUAGUCUGGUCUUGAGACAUGUCAAUUGACAUUACGGCAAAGUACUGCUCGGCAGUCUCCUGCAUUUGCCACCAUUAAUAGCCUAAAACACAACAGAGUAUCAGUUAGAUAACAAGAAUACAAAUAUAUGCACAAAGCUAAGCAAUUGUUCCAUUGAACUACCAGGUCUGACUCUAAUGCUCGCCCCCCUCAGCAACUUCGUUGUAAAAUCAAUAUUUACGGUACAAAAACUUGGUGAAACAAAGUUUAGCAAAUUCAUAGACAUGGACCAUUUUCUCUCUCUCAUAUAUCAAGUAGCAUCCUUAGGUAAGGCUAAAGUAACUUAUCACAUGCACUUGGGUAGUUGGAUAUUCAAUACCAUUAGUUGUGCGUCGUCACGUACACCAUAUUUCUACAGGACAGAGAAGUCGUUACUUGUUUAUAAGUAUGAAUCACGAUCUUACCUUCCCAACACAAAAGUUGUCAGUGCAGUGGUUCCAAAAGAAUUGCUAACAUUGCAGUCACCGUUCCCCGAGGCCCACCCCCCACCUCCAGAUCCUCGAGUCGCCGUUCACCGAGGCCCUAAUCCCCGGACCUCGAGGCGCCGUUCCCCGAGGCCCUCAUCCCAGGACCUCGAGGCCCUCAUCCCCGGACCUCNNNNNNNNNNNNNNNNNNNNNNNNNNNNNNNNNNNNNNNNNNNNNNNNNNNNNNNNNNNNNNNNNNNNNNNNNNNNNNNNNNNNNNNNNNNNNNNNNNNNNNNNNNNNNNNNNNNNNNNNNNNNNNNNNNNNNNNNNNNNNNNNNNNNNNNNNNNNNNNNNNNNNNNNNNNNNNNNNNNNNNNNNNNNNNNNNNNNNNNNNNNNNNNNNNNNNNNNNNNNNNNNNNNNNNNNNNNNNNNNNNNNNNNNNNNNNNNNNNNNNNNNNNNNNNNNNNNNNNNNNNNNNNNNNNNNNNNNNNNNNNNNNNNNNNNNNNNNNNNNNNNNNNNNNNNNNNNNNNNNNNNNNNNNNNNNNNNNNNNNNNNNNNNNNNNNNNNNNNNNNNNNNNNNNNNNNNNNNNNNNNNNNNNNNNNNNNNNNNNNNNNNNNNNNNNNNNNNNNNNNNNNNNNNNNNNNNNNNNNNNNNNNNNNNNNNNNNNNNNNNNNNNNNNNNNNNNNNNNNNNNNNNNNNNNNNNNNNNNNNNNNNNNNNNNNNNNNNNNNNNNNNNNNNNNNNNNNNNNNNNNNNNNNNNNNNNNNNNNNNNNNNNNNNNNNNNNNNNNNNNNNNNNNNNNNNNNNNNNNNNNNNNNNNNNNNNNNNNNNNNNNNNNNNNNNNNNNNNNNNNNNNNNNNNNNNNNNNNNNNNNNNNNNNNNNNNNNNNNNNNNNNNNNNNNNNNNNNNNNNNNNNNNNNNNNNNNNNNNNNNNNNNNNNNNNNNNNNNNNNNNNNNNGGACCUCGAGGUGCUGCGCCUCGAGACCCCUUCCCCGCCCCAUUGACGUUAAGGAUCCUUCAUAAUAGAGCAAUAGAAAGGAAACACAACUUUUAGAAAUUAUUUCAUACUUUACAAUUCUACCAAGUAAAAGAAACACAAAGAUGAACAAAAAAUUGUCAUGUGGUGUUGGACCAUCUUAUUGCUAUAAGGUGAAAAAUAAUUUCAGCAUUUGGGUACAUGAUUAAUGAGAUAUUAAUGGCAUAGAGACCUUUUUUUUUUACCAGCCUUGACAGUAUCAUAGUGAUACAGGAUGCUAAACAUUGUUCGGAAGUACAAUGUACCUACAUCGUGCAAUGUGUGACCCUCGUUAAACAAACUUAUUAGCAAACCAAAAGUAGCUAAAAAGAGUUCAAAGAUUUGGAAUGGCAGAUAGAUUGCGGAAGUUUGAGCCUGGAAACACCUAAAUAAAAUCCUUUAACUUAAGCACACUAACAAGAGAUGAAUGUGAGCAAUACCAAGUGAAGGAGAAAUAGAGAAAGAAAGAUAGUGUAAUUGGAAUGCAAGCAUAGGGCACAUGGAUAUUGAAUGAGGAACCUAACUGAGUUAUUUUUAUUUUAUUUAUUUGAAAGAGAUAGAAGUAACACGGGAAUAAGUAAUUUGUCCUACAAUUCCUACUUAUCCUUUUAAUGAAAGCUGAAAUUCUGACUGUUUUUUCUUUAGCUUGUUUCAUUUUGAAAGCUGAAGUUCCCUUCAAGGUAAGAAAUCGACAUGAAUAAUCUUCUGUGCCUCAAUCACAAAUUAGUUAAGGUCGGCUACAUGAAUCCUUUGAGUACAUUGUGCCUAUUCAGUUGAAAUGAUUCAUCAAACCUUAGACUAUGUCACACUAGCCAUUAACCUACUGCAGCCUUCUACUUGAUUUGAUUUUGAUAUCGUUCUGCUUUGUGAAGCUACCACAUGCAGAUUCUUCCACCAACAUGAGAACUUUUAAAAAUUUCUGUGUUUGCUAGUACUUAGAAAUCUAAAAGGACUAUAGGAGUGACUCAUCUUCUUAGGAAAGGUGAAAGACCACUUUUUGUGUUCCACUUCUAUUACUGAUAGCACUGUUAUGGUGCUACUAUUUAAUAUAUAUAUAUUAAAAAAAAAGACUAAGUGUAAUUAACGGGAAUUUAAUCGAACAUUGAAUUCACAAACACACAUGUUACCAGCCUAAAAAAAAAAAGCUUCUGCAUACAGCUUGUCGAGGAGGUUAUUCGGCAUAUCAGGAAGGCUUUUUUUAUUCCUUCCAUUGUAAAUAGGCUACUUACAACCCAGCAAUGGGGUUUCAGGAAGAGAAAGUAAGGAAAACUAUUACAGCAUGUUGCUUAGACAUGGUUAGCAAGAUAUUCAACAACAUUCAACGACUAAGUGUAAUUAACAUCUAUAAAAGGGAAUUUAAUCGAACAUUGAGAAAAACCAAGGUUUUUUUAUACUUCAGUGGAUUUAUCAGAAAGGAUACCAAGACUAAAGACAAUGAACAACACUCAAAUAAGAAAACACCAGAAAUUUGGAUAAGGCCAAAAAGAGAAAAAUGCACAGUUUGUAACUUGUACGUACACGCACUACAUAAUUAAGGAUUAAGCCAGACCAGACAGCACUACAUGCAUUUCUCUUUCCCUCUUUUGUUUUGUUGGAGUGUAGGGAGGUGGUUGAGGAUAAGUAACAGCGGAACAUGCAUCUAUUAUGCACAUAAUCAGAAAAAAUUAAAGCAGAAGCCUAUCAAACCUUCUCAUAGCAAACAUCAAUUAGUUCCAGAGCCUGGGUCAUCUCUACCAUUCCAAGUUCCCCAACUGGAGACGGUGCAUUUUUCCCACCUAUAAUUUUGGGAGCAUGUACCUGCAAGUAAGGUUUGGCAUAUAUAACUGCAAUACAAAAACAAAAAUUUCCCUCCAUAUGCAAACUAUCAGAAAUUUCCUUUAGUAGAGCAGACAAAAAUUUGUUUAAUUACUCAGUUUACUAGAAGAGCUGAAAACAAACAGGACUGCUGAAUUGUCAAUAAGAUGAAGAAAACACCAUAAAGAGUGAUACUGUAAACAAAGGAAGGAAGAAACAUGAACUCCUGGGUGUUUGAUAUACUAUUCUCUGAGCAUUGAUGAAAAUUUUGACAGUACCAGAAGUAAUAGAGUGAAUCAAAACAAGUAUGUGCACUAGACAAGUCAGACUGAUGCCCUUAUUUAGUUUAAAAACAGAAGAAUUAGACAGCUACUGUCAUUCACUGGUGUAAUUUGUAAAGAACAAAAACUUCUUAAUAGGUUUAAAUAGAAAAUCAAAGUUAACCUUUCAGUUGUAUACUUCCCAUUUUAGAAAUUUAAGAGAAUAAAACAUAUCUUCCUGACAAGUUAAUAACAGCUCAGCAGGAGAUUCAAAAUAAAUAGCAAGAAAAGAUAAAGAGAGAAUAUAUAUAUUUGAAUAUUAUAGUGGCUUUAAUGACUAUUUCAUGUGCUGGAUGUGUUAGUACGUAUGUUAAAAAUCAUAUGACUAAUUUCUAUCUAAUUAGAGUAAGGGAUAUUAGUUGUUGUGAGUAUCAUACUGAAAAACAUAUUGCUAUACUAGAGCCAGCAUGCAUGCUUGCUUUCACGAUGAUAUCACUGAAGAUAAAGAUGCUUUUGUGUCCAAGGAAAGAUGUGAGACUAGCACCGUUGCAUAACAGUUUGACAAUGAAAUCCUGAACCAUGUCCGCUAAACUUUGACUUCUUCCAAGUUUGUUUUAGUGGAUUUUCUAUUUACCAGGAUGUGUAAAAAAUAGUAAUAUGAUAAGUAAAUCGAAACAUAGAGCGUAGAGUUAAGCAUCAUUGAAGAAAUGAAAGUUCAGAUUUCAAAAGAUAAAAGUGUUACUUGUCUAAUACAUAUGUGACACAUUAAAAUUUUGUGGACUCUACAAGAUAUGUUCAAUUUGAAUCGGGAAGGCACCGUGCCUCGAGGCCCCACUCCCCCGCCCUGCCCUGCCCAGCCCCGAGGCAGCGUGCCUCUAGGCCCCACUCCCUGCCUCAAGCCCCCCCCCCCCCGCGAAGAGGUUUACUCAAUAAAAUUCAUAAUUGGGCCUCCGCGGUGACCUUUUUCCAGAUGCAAAGAGGGAGGGAGUCCACAAGGGACUCGAUGCAGUUUACAUGAAUCAAAAAUAUCACAAUUAGCUAAAUAACAAUGGGACAGAAAUUAAUACAUUUUAAAAGUAUGAACAACCAUUAAAUCACUCAACACAUUCAAGUUUGGUCGAACAGAGAACAAGACUUGAUCGUUUUAAAGUAGUCAUUAAUUGAGACAAACUGGAUGUUCCAAUCAACAACUAUUUAGGAUAUCAAAAUAAGACUUAAAUCCAUUUGGCAAGUAGGGACAAUAAAAUAAACAUGCUUAUAACCAAAUUAAUCAUAUAAGAAAAUUUUACAUUCUAAACAAUAGCAUUUAAACAUGAAGGAUUCAAAUAAGGCCAAAUCAGUUUGUCAAGAGUGAACCAACCAUUUCGCCAUAGAAAUUACAGACUAUUCAAAUGUCAUCCAAUAAACUCUUUAUAAGUUGAACACUAUAUUAUUAUUAAGCCAAAGAAUGCAAAUAAGAAAUGAUCUUGCACCAGCUGUGACUCAUGAAUUUAUUGUGAAGAUUUGCUAAUCAAUUAAACUAAUGACUAAUCGAGAAACCUACAACAUAAGGAUACAUGAUUGAGAACAUCUAAGCACCUAAGCCUAAAGAUGCGUCAAGUACGAAGUUAAAGAGCUUAAGCAGGAACCAAAAAAAACAUUAUUCAAGCUAAAAUAUUAAUGGAGGUAUCUUAAAACCAGUUAAGAAAACAAGCUAGCUUCUAGAUUGAACUUUAAGACAAAGACAAUGUUCAUUAAGGAAAAAAUAAUUAUUUAAUGAUCCAAGAAGAAAAACCCCAAAAAAGAAAUCACAAAACCCACCUACAUUUCCCUUGCAUACACAAAUUUAUACAAGAAACCCCAUACCCAACAUACAAAAAGGUCAAUCAUCGAACCAGUAAUAAAAAAAAUACACAAAAAAAGAAGAUAAAACCCAGUAAUCCAAUUAUUUUCCUACAGUAAUAAACAGAGACCAAAACAGAGAAACACUCACAAGUUUGGAGGAAUGAGAAAUCACGUUACGAGCAGAUACAGUUGUACGAAUCCAAGAUAUUAUAAAUUUCCGGUCGUUUCAUGGCCGCUCCAGCAUUCAAUUUUCUGGCCUGAUUAUUCUCCAACCCCGAUGAAUUCGCCACCAUUGCUUGUCUCUUCGCCACCGCACUCGAAACUGACGAACGCCUAUUCUGGGUCGUUGUCAUAUCCUCCUUCUAAUGUAAAAAGAAAUCGAAAAAUUAAACCCUUAUCAACAAUUUUUCAUCUCCCUCUUCUCAAGAAAACAAGAAGAAGAAGAAGAAGAAGAAGAAGAAAGCCGUUAUUGUGAAAAAUGUGAAUGUGAAGUAAUAUAUAUACCCGAUUCGAUUUAGAGGAGCGGUCAAGGUUGGGCCUGUUUGAAUUGGACUUCAGACGACCAAUCAUAUGAAGAUACAUAAGCUAAUUUAUUUUCUUGGACAGAUUAUUUUAUAUUAAUAGAAAUGAAUUUUGGUAAUAAGGAAUGAAAUGUGAGCUUAUACUAUUUUUAGUACAUAUGAAUCGAGUUGAAUUUGAAAACAAUGUUUGAAUUUAGAGUUAGAUAGAGAAUUUAUGGAAGUUAAAAAAAAUGUUUGCUAGUUUUUUGGACAUGGAGUGUUUAUAAAAGUUGAAAAAUUAUGAGUACGCAUUGAAACAACAACACUAACAACAUAUAUGGUAAAAAUCUCACGAGUUAGAUUCAAAGAAGAUGAUGUGUGGCCGGUGGGCGUUACAUAAAAAGUUUUUUAAAGUUUCGUGGGCAUUUGGUCAUGUUUUAUUGUGAAAUUUUUAAGAAGAUAGUUUUUGUUUUUAAAGUGAAAACUUAUAUUUGGCUAUGAAAAUUUUUAAAUUCAACUUGAAGUUGUAUUUCAAAUUUGAAAAUAGGUUAUGACAUGUUUUCCAACUCAUGUUUCAAUUUUUGGAUUGUAUUUAAGCACAUUCAAGUAUGAAUAUUAUUUCAAACAUUUUUAUAAAAAGUAUAAUCAAGUACAAAUAUUUUUUACUCCUCCAUAAAUUCUAAUUAAAAUAAAAAAAAUAUUUGAAAUCUAUAGUCAUGCGCCUACUAAGACUAUUAAUUUGAAAUGAAGUUCAUUUUUUUAUCCAUAGGGUUUGUUUCAAAAUAUUGAAAUUAUAUUUGGAAAUUAUUUUGAAUUAGUUUUUGUCUAUUAGACUAGGCAAGUUUGAAAAAAGUCUUCUGAAAUUCAUUCACAACAGUUUGAACUGUAUUUAUGUUUAGUCAAAUUACAUAGAUUAUAUAAAUUAAAAUAGAUGGAACAAUAUAUUACUAUGAUAAUUUAUCCUUUGGUUCGGAUCGACACUUCACAAACUUUCUAUAAAUAGAUGAUUUACAUUCUUUUUGAGAUUUUGAGAUUUUAUUUCUCUUAGAAUAAUUUCAAAAAUGAAAUUGUAUAUUUCUCCAUCAUCUAUAUUUUUAUUCUUGGAGUUAAUUUCCGUCAAUUGCAUAUUAAAAUUACUUUUGUUUCAUAAAAUGUCAGUUAAGAGAGAAGAAAGUCUUCGACGUGUUUAGUAUAUUUUCUUGAGAAAAUAGAAAUAGAUGAAUGAUAUUUUUAUUCUAAAAGAAACACAAGUAAUUUUUAUAGACAAUUCUCAAAAUACGAGUGACCAUCCAACAAAUAACUCUUUAAUUGAAAAGCAAAACUUAUUUUCUCAAAUAGAAGUAAUUCUCCAUAGUCUCAACAUAUAUGAUAUACUUUAAUGUCAUAUUUUAUAUUGAUUAAAAAUAAUUUAACUAUUAACGUCAAUGAAAUGAAUCACAAUCAGAAAUAUAUCUAAGAUUUGUAUUAGACCAUAAAUUUCAAAACUAUUCUUUUUUUUUUUAAAAAAAUGUUAAAUUAAACAAUACCACAUAAAUUAAAACGGGAUAAUAUUAUAUAUAUAGUACGCCAUUUUGUCAUAUGAUUUGAAUUGAUGAUUCAAGGAAUGUUAUUAGUUGGAUGUUUUGCCAGGUCAAUUUAGUAAAAUCAAGACAAUAUGGUGAUGAAGAUUCCAAGAGAGGGGGUCGAGGGUAGGGGUGAAAAAAAUGAAAUUUUGAAGUUGAAAAUAUUUUUUAAAAACAAACUCAAAUUUAUUUUAUUUUUUUUGGGGCGGGGGAGGGUGAUCGAGGAUCGGGGUGAAAGAGUGGUAAAAAAUUGAAAUUAGAAAUAUUGUUUAAAAACAACUUUUAAUAUUUUUUUUUGGGAGGGGGGGUAGGGGUGAGGGUGAAGUAAAAAAAUUGAAGUUAAGAACAUUUUUUAAAAACAAGCUUUAAUUUAUUUUUUUUUAUUUUUGGGGGGGGCUGGUGGUUAGGGGAAAUAAAUUGUUUUUUCAACAAAAAAAAAAUUGUAAUUUGAAGUUGGAAGAGAGUUUUGGAAAAUGUUUUUCUUAAGUUUUGAAGAAAAGUCAUUUUCCUUAAAUUUGAGAAAAAUGAGUUGAUUUAGAAAACAUUUUCUAAAACAUUUAACCCAACCAAACAUGAGAAAAUUGAAAAUUCCUUUCAUACCAAACAUACCUUACUGUUUGCAUUUUGGUCAUUCUAGUCGCAUAACUACAUAAUAUAAUAAAGGUUAAAUCAGUCACAAAGAGUGAUGAACUAAAAACACAUAAGUUUAUCACAAAUCCGUCAAAUAAUUAAACUUUAUUUUAAAUAUGUCCAUACAAUAAAUAAUAAACACUUAUUAAUAGAUUAUUUACUAUUAAUGGCAAUUAAAUUAUUAAAUAAUUUAAUUAAAAAUCACAUCUCUAAAGAUUUGCCCUCUCACUCUUUUAUACUACCCACUUGUGCUACAUAUUUUAUUGCCAUCAGACGCGAGACAUUUAUUUUACAAAAAAUUGUGCCGAAAAAAUUUGUUACCAAUUGAUGUGAUAAGAUUAGAGUUGUCAAAAAAGGACGGCCCAGCCCCACCUGGCCCAAGGUGCCAAGGUAUUAACGACGCUUGCUAUGUUGACAGAGUUGGGCUUGGGAUCUCCUAAACCAACUAUAAUGCAUAUGUUGAUGGCAAUUCAUACCGUGAAACGUCCAAUGGUUAUUGUUGUGCCGUAAUUUAACUAACCUUUAGAAAAAUCACUUUUUGAAAUGUUCUAAGAAUAAAACAAUUUGAGAAAAAUACUUAGAAAAGAGUCGCCACUUAAUUUUUUAAAGAAAUUAAGAAAACUUAUAAUUUUCAAAGAUUUAAACAGAAAAAAUCAUUUGAAAAUACCGAAAGAGGGUUCAGGGUUCAAUUUACACUUCGAGAAGGGUUUAAGCAUUCGAAGUGCCCGCUAACAUGCGGUUGACCUGCGACUUGACUAAAAUAUAUUUGACUAUUUUUAGGAAAAUAACGAUUUAACAUAAAAAAUAAUAACUUACAAUAAUUGAUUAACUUUAAGAAAUAAUAAUUUAUAAUAUUUGAUUAACUUUGAGAAAAUAAUUAAAUAAAUGACGCAUUAUUUUUUAUUUUAUUUUAUUUUUUAGAGAAGGGGACCCAAAAAUGAAAUAUUUGACUCGAAAUACAAGUGAUUAGAAUAUUAAUAAAAUUAGAUUAAUUAGAAUUUAUUUAAUUCAUUUUGAAAUAAUAAUUAACCAAUUUAAUAAAUUAAAGCAUGAAUAUCAUUUUGAAUUAAUUGACUAAACUUUUUGAGAAAAAGACUAAGUGAGCAUUAUUAUUUUUUAAUUAAUUGUAAAGAUUUUGACUAACAUUUUUAAAGUUUAUUUGAGAAAAGUACUUUAACUUAAAACAAUUUUAAAAAUGAGUAAAAUAUGAUUAAGCAAAAAAAAAACAUUAAAUAACAUCUCUUUUAAGUACAAAAUGUUUAACUUAAUUGAAGAUAUAAAUUUUUGACCAAUACUUGAUCACUAAAAUAAAUGAACACAAAAACAUGAAAUGUAUUAAAAUUAAACCAACACAAAGAAAAUAACUCAUCUUUUGGGGAAUUUAAUUAAGCUAAUUAACAAUUCUAAGUUAGAGUUAAUGAUAGAAAAAAACAAACAAUAAAUAAAAGACAAUUAAAUAAUUUAAAGAUAAAGGAGAAAUGAAUUUGGGCCCCCUUUUUGGGCCAAUUUUGCUGAAAUUUUUGGGGUUUAAGCCAAUCCCGUUUUUGUAUACAUUGACCGUAUAUCAGUGUAUAUCGGCAUGUAUAUCAGCUCUUUCCAUGUAUCUCCUGUUUCCAAACACAUGUACUUCACUUGGCCCUGUGUUUUUGCAUUUUUGAGUUGUAUGUCGAUGUAUAUAGUUGUAUACAACCCCCUUUUUGGGCUUUCCGAGACAUAUUUCAGCUCCCAAUCUUGAUCCAUUUAGUGGCAGACUUAAGGAGAUAAUUAGGCCACCAUGGCCCCAAAAUAAAAAAUGCAGUGGGAUGAGAGUCCAAUGGACUCGGGAUGACAUUCGCAACAAAACACAAAAAGAAGACAAAUUAGCAAAGAGAAAAAGCACAUUCAACUUUAAGCUUACGUACCUAAUUAAUGUAUGUGAAAACAAUAAACUUAAAUAUACAUACAAUAUUAAUAAGUGAAGGCAGUAACCAAAAGUAUUUUGAAAUGGUUAGCACACUAUCUAAGACAAUUCAAGCAUGAAUGAGGAAAAGUUCCAAUCACCCAUGUUAAAUUAAACUUAUACAAACUAAAGGAGGGAAUUAAUCACAAACCAGUUAAUUUGAACUUAGUUAAAUCAUAUUUCCAACCAACUAACUAUAGAAUUUAGACAUACACAUAAGCAUAGUUAAAUGUUUGCACAAGGAUCUCAUCGAGGAAACAAACACAUGAGGAUGAGGAAUUGAAGCACUAGCAUUUGGUGACUUUAUUAAUGCACAAACUUAGUUCCAUAUUACCAUAAUAUAAAAGUCGGACAGUGACCGAUUCUAACCAUCAACUUUGCCAAUUUUGAACAACAAUGCACAAUAUAACAACAAGCUUUGGGAAGAAUAACAGAGAUUUAAUAGACCUUAGAGCAUGACUAAGUUAUAUCAAACCUAAUGAAUUAGCGACUAACAUCUAAACCAAAGCACGACUCUAACAUGACAUGGUGAACAAUAAGACGAAACACGAGAUUUGAAAAAAAAUAAAAAAAUAAAAAUCGAUAAGACGAGCUACUACAUCAACAAACAGUAGAUAAUACCAAUAACUAUUUCACUAGCGAGAAGAGUAACACUUAGCCAUAUUCAAAUGUUAAAACCAUAACUUUGUAUCUUUGUUAAGGAAAUUCGAAAAUAAACAGCGGCAACAUGAACACAAAAAUUGAAAAUGUCAACACAACAAUAACACUAGAUGAAAAAGAACUUAGGGAAAGGGAUAUUACCUUCGUCGGGGCAGCGAACUAGAAACGGAAUCAAGCAGGGAUGAGCAACAUUGUUCACACUGAAACACGACUCCGAGAAACUUCAAGAAAUUUUGGUUUAAAUAUAUUUCUUCCUCUUAACACUUAGCUAACUCUUAAUCUUUUCCGAAUCAAAAUUUUCUCCCCCUUUUUAGUGAUCAAAAGAGAUGAAUAUAUAGAUGGAAAUUAGGGGGGAAAUCGGGUGAAAUUUUUCAUUUCAAAAUUCAAAUUUCUUGCUCCUUUUCAAGGCCAACAGGGAGCAAUUGAGUUUGGUAUGAAAUUUCUCCAAAAUCCCAGAAAAUCCGAGGCAGCAGGGCUGCUGCGUACAACUGUUGUUGACAUUUUUGGACUGCUGCUACUAUUGUUGAAAUUAGAAGGGAAAGAGGGGGUGGGGCCGGCUGGUUGUUGUUGAUAUAUUGUAUGUAGUGUUGUUUGGAAUUGUAUGUAUUGUAUGCAUUGUAUGUUAGAAAUUAAAAGGGAAAAAGUGGUGGGGUCAGCUGGUUGCUGUUGAUGUAUUGUAUUGUUAAUGUUGGGUGCUUCUUGAAUUAGGAAAUAGGUGGGCCAGGGGUUAUUGAAAGGGGAUUAGGAAAAACUUAGCCAAUUUGAUUUAGUUAAGAUAGAUUUGGCUAGUAAUUAAAUAAGACAAAUUGAUAUUAAUUAAUUAACGAGCUUCUUAAUCUUAAUAAAAUAAAAUAAUUAACUUAAUUAUAGACGACUAAAUAACCAAAUAAAAUAAAGCUAAAAUCCUUUUGAGACAAUUUUCUAAUAUUCAUAAAAUAUACCAAUUAGACAAAUAAUUCUAUAAAAUAUCACAUUUAUUAUUUUAAAAUUUAUAAAAAUGACAAAACUACUUAAAAUGACUUGAAAAUUAUUUUGAAUUUUAUAAAGCCAAUUAUUUCAAAUCAUUUGGAAUUUAGGAAGCUCGAUGAUUAAUUUAUAUCGUGGAGGUCCAAAAUUGGGUGUCAACAGUUAUUAUGUAUGAUGUGCCGGUAAACGUGGAGACCUUCAUAUUUUUGGUAGAUUUUGUGAUUCUAAACUGUGAGGUGGACUUUGAAGUUCAAUCAUAUUGAGCCAACCAUUCUUAGCCACUAGAAAAGCUUUUAUAGAUAUACAGAAUGGUGAACUAAAGUUCCAGUUAAAUAAUGAAGAGGUAAUCUUUAAUAUAUGUUGGUCAACGAAGUAGCUAAGCGAGAUGGGUGUGAUAUAUGUUAUUGGUAUGAUUGAUGAAACUUAGUUUGAAAUUUCUCGAUAGAAACUUUGGGUGUAAUUGUUAUGAACUUUAUUUAGAAAAUAUAGAAGGAGAAUACUAUCUUUAGAGAAUGCUCAAGUUUUAUAUAAGCAACUUGAGGCCAUUUGAGAUUAUUAGAAUCAUUAAUUACAUCUCUAUUUAUAGUAGUAAAAUGUAAACCAAAGGUCUUGCACAAAUAACUAGAUACAUGUAUCACAAUUUGCUAGAUACAUGUACUACGGAAUUCUAAAAGACUUCUUGAAAAACUAAGAGACAAUAUUGGAAGACUAAACAUCAAGGUGUGAACGCAUUAAUUCCGACACUCCCCCUUAAUGCAUUUGCUUGACAACUCCAAUGCCUUCUCGAAAAUAGCAAAAAAAUUCUCUAGGAAGUGCUUUGUUGAAGAUGUCAACAAGUUGUUCUCCUGUCUAACAAUAAUUGCAACUGAAUUUCAUUUUUCUCUUGUGCUUUUGAAUAUCUCCUUCUUGAUUGAGUUAGGUUUUGUAAAUCCACUUUAGACUUACAACUUCUCUUUCUUUAGAUAUACUCACACACUUCCAAGUAUUAUUUUUCUCAAUCAUUCGAAUUUCUUCUGCCAUAGCUUCUUUCAAACAUCUUGCUUUAUUGUCUCUUCAUAAUUUUCUUGCUCAAUACCGGUAAAGUUGUAUCUAUGAUAAAUGUCACUCAAUAUUUUUGUUCCUCUUGGAGACAAUUCUUUAUCAUCUGAAUCAGAGAUUUCUCCCCAUUGAGGGACACCUUCCUCUUCCUCAUCCUCUUCUUGAUUUGGCACAUCUAAAGAUAUGAUAGAACUAUUCUCUACCUUAUUCUCAGUAUGUAUCUCAGGAAGGCCUUGUACCAUGUCUUUUUGCUUGAGAAGCUUCAAACCAUGAAAAUUCAAGUGACAAAAUCUUUUGUUCCAAAGCCGUGAAUCAUCUACAACUUCAUUUUUGAAUGCAUUGUAAUGAAAUUGUAAACAAAAGUUUAUUUUUAUCACCUCUACUUCAACAAUGAUUUUAUUUGGCUCAUUUUUAUCAUAAAUCUUGCAAUAAUUGUCACUAAACACAAGAGAAUAACCAUUUUUCAUGAGUUGACCAACACUAAGCAAAUUUUCUUUCAAGUCAGGAACAUAAAGAACAUCAUGAAUUUGAUUACCACUCCCUUUUAUGUUGAUCGAAAUGGUACCUUUACCUUUUGCAUCAACUAAGGCUUCAUUCCCCAUUCUCACUUUAGUAUUGAUACUGUUAUUGAUUGAGAGGAAAACUUUUUCAUCUCCAGUCAUGUGAUUGCUACAACCACUAUCAACAUACCAUUCAUUGCUUUUGGUUGAAGUAUCAGAAGCAAAGAAAAUACUUUCUUCCCUUUCUUCCGCCUAUUUUUCAUAAAAAUUUGCUUGCUCCCAUUUUUUGUGCCAGCAAUCCUUCUCAAUGUGGUCAAACUUUUUACAAAAGUUACAUUGGGGCUUCUCUCUGUGUCAACAUUUUUCUGCAUUGUGAUUAGUCUUUUUGCAAACUUUACAAAAACGACUAGAACUUUUCUCACCUUUUUCUUCAACCUUCUUAGAAGAACCAUCAUGAUCCUGCUUCGUUUUUAGAUUGUAACUCUUCUUUCGUUGGUUUUUUGGGAAAUUUUGAGAAUUCUCAUUUGUUCUGGACUGGAAAGUCGUCUCUUUGGGUUGAUCUUCACGAAAAAAUCUCCGUUUCUCGUGUGCACAAAAUGAUCCAACUAGCUCUUUGAUGGAAAGCUUAGAAAGAUAUUUUGUCUCCUCUGAUAGCAACAAUGUACUCAUAUUUUUCUGUGACACUAAUUAGAAUCUUUUGCACAACUUGUUGGUCAGAAAUUGUAUCACCAUGAUUUCUCAAUUUAUUGACAAUAAUCACGACUCAUGUGCAAUAUUCGUCUAUUUUUUCAGAUUCUAUCAUCUUCAAAUUUUGAAACUCUCUUCUAAGAGUUUGAAGAUUUAUAGUGCGUACCUUUUCGUCACCAUACACCUCAGUUUUCAGAGACUCCCAAACUUGUUUUGCAGUCUCAUAAGUAACAUUUUUUGCAAAAUAUGCUCUUGAGACUCCCAUUUGAAUUUUUCUCAAGGCUUUUGCAUCAUGACGAUACUUAGCAUCAAGAUUUUUCAUUUCUGCUACUGUAAGUUCACCAUCGUUUUCUGGCUCUUCAAAGCCAUUUGUAACAAUAGUCUACAAACCUUCAACUUUCAAAUGUGUUCCCAUUCUUAUCUUCAAGUAUUCAAAAUCAAUACCAUAAAAAAAUGGAGUAAGAAUAACUGAACAAUCAACACCUUCAUUUGUUUUGGAUGCCAUAUUUUUUUCUUCACCUAACCCCAAAUUAAGAACGAAAAUCUGCUCUUGGUACCAAUUUGUAGGAAAUAUAGAAGGAGAAUACUAUCUUUAGAGAAUGCUCAAGUUUUAUAAAGGCUACUUAAGGUCACUUGAGAUGAUUAGAAUCAUCAAUUACAUCUCUAUUUAUAGUAGUAAAAUGUAAACCCAAAGGUCUUGCACAAAUAACUAGAUACAUGUAUUACGAAAUUUUAGAAGAUUUCUUGAAAAACUAAGAGACAAUAUUGGAAGACUAAUCAUCAAGGUGAUAAUGCAUUAAUUCCAACACUUUAAAGGGUGUGACAACUGAGAAUAAAAAGACAUUAAAACGAACUUGCUAGCAUGAGUUUUUAUUCUUAUGCACCAAAGAGGCUGGAUCUUGACUUAAAAAAUAAUGAUAUCCCACCAGCCAAGCUUUCUAUUUAAGAGCCUUCUGUAUUAGAGCUUAAAGAUUUCUGCUCUUCUCUACGAUAUGCAUUUUGGGGGGCUAGCUAGUGAUACUUAGACAACGAUUAUUGCAGUAGACUUAUUAGUGACAAGUGGGAGAUUUUGUAUCAAUAUUGAGAUAGUAUAAGAGAAUUAUCAAAUAGAUCAUAUGAGAUACCAUUUGAAUCCCUCUUAAUAUUUGUUUAUAUAAAGUUCAGUUAGAGCCAAAUUACAUUCAUAAUAUUGACCAUCAACAUAGGUUAAGCCCAUUGAUGCAAAAAGGUGAUAAAAGAAGAAAAUCAUUAAGUGGAUGGAUUCAUGUGUGGUUUACCCUAUCUCUGACAGUAAAUGAGUAAGUCAUUUUCAAUGUUAUGUCAAAGAAAGGUGGAAUCAAUAUGGUUCCAAAUAACAAAAAUGAGUUGAUUUUAAUGAGGUCAGUUACUGUAAUACCUCGGACUUUGAAAGAUUUAAAUUGAGAUUUCGUUCAAGUUACUCUUCAGUUGUAAGUUUUGGGUCAACUUCAAACGACCAUAACUUUCAGCACAAAAUGAGUUAAGUGGCCCUGAGGUAUCAAUUUGAAGGUCUUUGAGUCGUCUUGUCAACGCCGCUGAGUUUGCUAAAUUUUGAGUUUGGAUGAAGGAGAUAUGCUUAUUUGAGUGCAGUUUGCCUAGUUGAGGCAUUUCAUCCAUUUUAGAAAAGAGUACUUUGGUCUUUUCCUUACCCCGCUUGUGUUAACUCAUUUUCUUGACCUAAAUUUAUGGUUUAAUCAGAUUUUAAAUUCCCCAAUUUCUUUCAAAACACUUAGGGGUUUUUAGGUUAAGUUUCAAAAAGAAAGAAAGGGAUAAGUUCAAGCUUCGUUCAAGAAUUGAGGAAUUUCGCAAAGAACGAUUGUUCUUUCCAGGUAUGUGAGGCUUCUCAUAGUGAUGGAUUUGUUUAUCCUCACAUCAAGAUGUAUUUUGUCCAUUAAAUUGUCCAUGAAAUCGUUUAUGUAAAGAUUCUUGAAGGGUUCUUGAAGUUUUAACCCCAUUCUUUAUCAAUAGAGGUUUUGAGUUCUUGAGGAGAUGGUGUUUCGAAUGAGGGGUGUUUCGUCAUAGAAUUUGAUUGAGAUUUUCAAUGAAAUUAUGUUGGGUUUAUGAAUCAAAAUGAGUUUGGAAAGAAACCAAUCAAUUUUAGAUGAUUUAAGACCAAAAAUUGAGAAGAAAAUUUGUCAAAAGUUUAUGGGUUUAGGCUGGGGCGACGCUCCCCUGUAGUGCUAGGGGCUGGCUACCUACGCCUGCAUUUUACCCCAAACCAACCUCAGUCAAGUGAGGGUUGGCACGGCGCUCCAAAGAUGCAUUAGGCUUCUUUUCCCCUCCGUUCUUCGUCCCGUAUGCGUCCUUUUGAAUUGUGUCUUCACUCUCUUCAUUAUUCUAACUAUCUAAGCCCCCAUAAAUCAUUGAGAAAUCCUAUAUAUAUAUAUAUCCUAAUCGUAGCUUCUAAAUUCACACUUUCAAAUCAAAGUAAAGUUAAGAGGAAAGUUCAAAGGUUUUAUUUCAUAAACACUUUAGAGUUUCUAAUGUUAAUUAUUGGACUUGAAAGAUACGUUCAGAAGUGCAUGUUUUGAAGAUUGUAAACAUGUUCAAUGUUUUCAAGAAUGUAAACAUGUUCAAUGUUUUCAAAAGUAUUUCAAUAAAGUAAGAACUCAUUUUCUUGUAAUGGGUGAAUUGAGCAUAAAGUUAUAUCAAUUAUUUUGGGAGUAGUAUCGAGCACCGAGCUGGGUUAGAGUCUCUUAUAAUUUGAAAGUCCCAUAGAACUACGUAGUCAGCGUAAGAUAAGAUAGCAUUGAUUCUUCAUGCAACUCCUCACUGACUCCGAGAAGGCCAAUUAAAUGGAUCCAUAGUCAUUAUAUCAUCUUAUACCCCGACAAAAUAUAGGAUUGCCCUGGCAGUGUGGGCGAAACGUUAUGUCAUUGUAAGGCUCAUGGUAAUGGUUGCCGGUUAGAGAAACUCCCCACAAGUAAAGUAUAUUAUUUUCAUUUUGUUUUCAUUGUAUAUCAUAUUGUAAAAUGUAAAUAGGUUUCAUUUCAUAUUCAUGUAUUGAUCUUGUUAUGUUGCUUUCAGUCAUUCAAGCCAGUAAGUUGUUUACUCUAACCUUAUCACUUACCAGUUAAUUCAAUGUACAGAGUUCAUUCGAUCUGCUUCGUUUCAUGAUGCAGAUACAAGUACUCAGGAUCAUCAACAGGCGCUCCGUUGAGAUCACUAUCCACUCGCAGGCAGAUUUUUGGUGAGGCCUCCUUGCUUCCAAGAGACUUCAUUUCUUUUCAAUUAGUAGCUUUUGAAAGUGUCGUGGGUCUUGUCCCGACAUCUAUCUUACAUUGUUAGAGGUUUUCUAGACAGUCUGAACUAGAUGUUUCCAGUAUUUUCUCAUGAUGUUUUAUUUAACUCAAAAAUCGAGAAAUUUGGAUAAUUCCUAAAAAAAGGUCUGUAAAUACAUAAAUGGGAGUUAAAAAAUUGGUGUGAGUAUACAUGGUGGUUCCCCAACUCAUUACCGAAGUCCUCAUAAAUUUUUUUGAGAAGAACUUUUUAGGUGCUUCAGGGCGCCAGAUCCAUUGGCUAAUACACACAAAAAAUCGAUGAUUUUGGGUAAUUUCUAAAAGGGUCUGUGUUGGUGAUGAAGAAGCUCAAACUCACGACAACAAUGGAGGACAAAGGAAAGACAUAGUUUCAAAGUGUGAAGUGAACAAGGUUCAGACACAUUUUAUUUCCUUUUAGACUUGUGCAUCACAACCGUCCAUCACAAGACAAUAAAAUUAAAUCAAAGACCGUUGGUUCAAAGUUUGAUUGAGACACCUGGAUGAGCUGACUCAUCAUUUUGGAAGCUUCCACAAUAUUGAUAUUUCAAAUUAUCUGAUUUCUCUAUUUUUGUAUAAAUUAAAAUUCUAUAUUAUCUAUAGGCUAGACAAAUAGGAUUUGUACAAGUGUCCUAGGCAUAACAGAUUUUGAUUCCUUUUUUACUGUAUUUAUACAUGUACAGCUUGAGAAGAAAUACACAGUGAGAAUUUCACAAUUCCUAUCGUUUUUUUUCUUCCAAGAUGGUAUCAAAGCAAUAGAUCCCUCACUAAUUUUUCGUUGCUCCUCUUUCUCUAAUUUCCUUUCACCAUGGUGAAUACUCAACCAUCUGAUACCCCUGUUGCUUCUCCUGUUGAUCUCCCAGGAACUCAGCCUCUUCCUCCUCCUCAAACCUCCAGCAACAAUGACCAUUCUCAUCCCUUUUACCUGCAUCCUUCAGAUUCCCCUGGGAUGCUCUUGGUGAAUUCUACCUUCAAUGGUAAUGGCUAUGGAGCAUGGAGAAGGGCCAUGUUCAUAGCUCUUUCAGCUAAGAAUAAAAUCGGCUUGAUUGAUGGCACCUUCUUAGAACCUCAGAUCUAUGCCCCUCUUUAUACUGCUUGGAGUCGCUGUAAUGACAUGGUGAUUUCUUGGCUGCUCAACUCCUUGUCUAAGGAAAUUGCUGAAAGCGUUCUCUAUUCCAGAACUUCUAGAAACAUCUGGCAAGAAUUAGAGGACAGAUUUGGUCAAAGCAAUGGGGCUAUGCUCUAUCAACUUCAAAAGGAACUUAGUGAUCUCACUCAAGGUAAUUCUGAUGUUGCAGGGUAUUUUACUAAGGUAAAGAGAAUUGGGAUGAGUUAGACAGUCUAGAUACCUGCAAUCACUGCUCUUGUGAAUGUUCUUGUGGAGGAAAGGACAAAACCCUGAAGUCACACCAAGUGGGUAGGCUCAUUCAGUUCCUCAUGGGCUUGAAUGACACUUACUCAGGUGUUAGGAGCAACAUCCUAAUGUCCACUCCUCUGCCAAGCAUCAAUCAUGCUUACUCACUCCUGAUCCAGGAUGAGAAACAAAGGGAGAUACGAGUUUCUCAACACUCUGCUGAAUCUGCAUUCAUGACAACAAAAAAUCAGUUUGGGGCUCAAAGAUUCAACAGAUAUCCCGAGGCUAAGAAAAACACGCUUCAAUGCUCACACUGCAAGAAACCAGGGCACUCUGCUGACAAAUGUUAUAGAAUCAUAGGUUUUCCAGCAGAUUUUAAAUUUACCAAGAGUAAAAAGACUCAGUUUGGUACUGCUCAUGGACAUGCUGCAGUUGCUUCUGAAGCUGAAGGGAGUAAAUCAACUUCACAACAGCACAUCACUCAAGAACAAUACAACAACAUAUGUCAUCUUCUCCAGCAGUUUAAGUUUGAAUCUCCAGAAGAAUUGAGUUCUGAAGUCACAGUCACUGCCAAUUGUGCUGGUAUCCCUGAACACUCUGCUCUAAAAUCUGAUUCUAUUGUUUGGAUCCUUGACUCAGGAGCCUCUGAACAUAUGACUUGUGAUUUAAAUCUCUUGUUUAAUGUUAGGGCUCUUACUAAACCUGUUUUUGUCAACCUUCCUAAUUCACAAAGGGUAAAAGUUACACAGGCAGGAUGUGUAAACAUUUUUCCCAAUUUCACUAUCUCUAAUGUGUUGUUUCUCCCUAGUUUCAAGUACAAUCUAUUAUCAGUUCAUCGAUUCUGUCAACUAGGUGAUUCUAUUCUCAUUUUUUCUGCUUCUUGUGCUAUUUUGCAGGCCCCUUCAAUGAAGAGGCCAGUGGUUCUUGGUAGACAAAAGGAAGGACUCUAUCUACUUCACUCAUUCAAGCCUCGUACUAGUUCUUUAAGCAAAAUCAAGGACUCUUGUCCAAUGUCUUUCAUUUGUAGUAGUGAUCAGACUGUUUUUCCUAUUUCAUGCUCAGCAGUUGGUUCUUCUGAUGUAAUCCUCUGGCACAAUCGUUUGGGGCAUUUGCCCUUAUCUAAUAUGAGAAAUAUUCCCUCUAUUACUUGUUCAAAUUCAUCUUCUUUCCUUGAUCAUUGUGUUAUUUGUGCUAAAGCAAGACAAGUUAAAUUACCUUUCCAAUCUAGCACAAUAUCAACCACUGACAUCUUUGAACUAAUUCACAUUGACACUUGGGGGCCAUAUAAAGACUCUACACAUGAUGGUUUUAAGUAUUUUUUAACCAUUGUUGAUGAUUUUAGUAGAGGGACUUGGACUUAUCUCUUAAGUGCUAAGUCUAAUGCUUUUCCUGUCCUUAAAACAUUCUUAGCAAUGAUAGAGAGGCAAUUUUCCAGAAAAGUCAAAAAAAUUAGAUCAGAUAAUGCCCUAGAACUUGGGACUAGUUUGGAAGCCUCUCAGUUCUUUUCUUCACAGGGUAUUUUACAUCAAACUACUUGUGUCUACACCCCUCAACAAAAUGGAGUUGUUGAGAGAAAACACAAGCAUUUGUUGGAGACUUGUAGAGCCCUUUUAUAUCAAUCUAAUUUGCCUAUUUCUUUUUGGGGUGAGUGUCUAUUGACUGCAACUUUUCUUAUUAAUAGAUUUCCUUCUAAGACUCUCCAACACAAGAGCCCUUAUGAGAUUUUGUUUGGUACUCCACCUUCUUAUGAGAAUCUAAGAGCUUUCGGUUGUCUUGCCUAUGCUUGCACUCUACCUAUUCACAGAUCCAAAUUAGAUCCUAGGUCUAUUCCUUGUGUUUUCAUUGGAUAUCCAGCUGGAAAGAAAGGUUUCAAGCUCCUAAACCUCAAAUCAAUGCAAGUGUUUGUUUCUAGAAAUGUUAAAUUUCAUGAAGCUAUCUUUCCUUUCAUUUCCCAAACUGUAAAUCCUCUUUUCUUUCCUGUCCAUUCUCCUUCUUUCCAUGUUUCUGAUGAUUCUACCCUUCCAGUUCCUACUCCUCUAAUUUUUCCCUUUUCUGAUACUUUAACUUCUUCUUCUACUGGCCACUCUCCAUCUCCUACAUCUUUGGUGUCCCCAGAUCGAUCUCCUUCUCCUGUUGUUCCUACUACACUCAUUCCUACCAGAGCAUCUACUAGAGCACAUAAAACCCCUAGUUACUUGAAAGAUUAUAUUUGUAAUUCAGUCUUUCUUUCCCCUGUCAUUACAUCCUGUUUCUCUACUCCUAUUCAACCUUCUGUGCUUUCUUUUUCUGCUUUGUCCUCUACAAAUCAAGCCUUGCUCAACUCCACUUCCCAUAUCUCUGAACCUACUUCCUAUUCCCAGGCUUCACUUCAUCCUGGUUGGCAAAUGGCUAUGACUAAAGAAUUUGAAGCUUUAAAUUUAAACAAAACCUGGGAUGUUGUUAUGUUACCUGCAGGGAAAAAGGCCUUGCCCUGCAAAUGGGUCUACAAGGCAAAAUACAGGUCUGAUGGUGCUUUAGAGAGGUUAAAGGCUCGUUUGGUCGUUAGAGGUGAUAUACAAAGACAGGGUAUUGAUUUUACUGAAACUUUUUCACCCGUAGUCAAGAUGACUACUAUCAGGUGUAUCCUAGCAGUGGCAGUCAAGUUAGGUUGGGAUCUUUUCCAAUUGGACGUAGACAAUGCCUUCCUGCAUGGUGAUUUGCAGGAAGAGGUUUACAUGAAAUUCUCACCAGGGAUGUCAGCCCCUUCCCCCAACCAUGUUUGCUUAUUAAGGAAAUCGUUAUAUGGGUUACGCCAAGCAUCACGACAGUGGUAUGCUCGACUCACAGCUGCUUUGAGUUUUAAAGGCUAUUCUCAUUCUCUCAACGAUUAUUCCUUAUUUUUCAAAAGUUCAGGUGGUCUUAUCACUAUGCUAGCGGUAUAUGUUGACGACAUAUUGAUUACAGGCAAUGAUUUACCUGAACAACAACAACUUAAGAAUUUUCUUCAUGCUGAAUUUCGGAUUAAGGACCUUGGUAAAGCUCAUUUUUUUCUAGGCAUGGAAAUUAUUCGAGAACCUACUGGAUUGAUUCUGACUCAGAAGAAAUUUACCUUUGAAUUGCUUCAAGAGUUUGAUUGUUUUGGUCUCCGACCAGCUUCCGCUUCACUUGAUCCCACUCAGAAACUUUUCGCCGAUAAGGGUGAGCUUCUGUCGGAUCCAACUUUGUAUCGUCGGCUUUUAGGUAAACUCAACUUCUUGACCCACACCCGGCCGGAUCUCUCUUUCACUGUGCAACAUCUUUCUCAGUUUAUGCAGACCCCUCGUCAACCUCAUUUGAACGCUGUUUUCCACUGUCUCCGUUAUUUGCUCAAAGAACCCAAUUUGGGGCUUCUCAUGAAUGUUGAUCCAUGUCUUCAAUUAGUUGCUUUCUGUGACUCCGAUUGGGGGACUUGCCCUGAAUCUCGUCGUUCCGUUAGUGGAUAUUAUAUAAGUUUUGGAGGUUCUCCUGUUUCAUGGAAAUCAAAGAAACAAUCUUUAGUAUCUCUAUCAUCUGCUGAAGCAGAAUACAGAUCUAUGCGACGGGUAGUUGCUGAGAUUACCUGGUUGGUGCGAUUGUUCGCUGAUCUUUCCAUCACCCCAUCUCUUCCUGUCACUUUGCACUCCGAUAGCCAGGUUGCGAUUCAUAUCGCGAAUAACCCAGUUUUCCAUGAACGGACGAAGCACGUCGAACUCGACUGUCACUUCGUCCGGCAACAAUUUCUAGCUGGUCUCAUUUCCCUCUCAUAUCUACCCUCUCACUCUCAGCUCGCCGACGUUUUCACCAAGUCGUUAUCUGGUCCUUCUCAUAGAUCGAAUGUUCAUAAGUUGGGGGUUACUUCCUCUCCCUCCAACUUGAGGGGGGAUGUUGGUGAUGAAGAAGCUCAAACUCACGACAACAACGGAGGACAAAGGAAAGACAUAGUUUCAAAGUGUGAAGUGAACAAGGUUCAGACACAUUUAUUUCCUUUUAGACUUGUGCAUCACAACCGUCCAUCACAAGACAAUAAAAUUAAAUCAAGACCGUUGGUUCAAAGUUUGAUUGAGACACCUGGAUGAGCUGACUCAUCAUUUUGGAAGCUUCCACAAUAUUGAUAUUUCAAAUUAUCUGAUUUCUCUAUUUUUUGUAUAAAUUAAAAUUCUAUAUUAUCUAUAGGCUAGACAAAUAGGAUUUGUACAAGUGUCCUAGGCAUAACAGAUUUUGAUUCCUUUUUUACUGUAUUUAUACAUGUACAGCUUGAGAAGAAAUACACAGUGAGAAUUUCACAAUUCCUAUCGUUUUUUUUCUUCCAAGAGUCUGUAAAUGUAGAAAUAUGUAUUAAAAAAUAGUGUGAGUAUACAUGGUGGUUUCCUAGCUCAUUACAAAGGUCCUCAUAAAGUUUUUUGAGAAUUCUUUUUGGGUGCUCCGGGGCGCUAGAUACAUGGGCUAAACACAUAAAAAUCGAGGAAUUUGGAUAAUUCCUAAAAAGAGUAUGUAAAUGCGGAAAAUGGGCGUUAAAAAAAUGGUGUCAGUAUACAUGGUGGUUCCCCAACACAUUAAGAAGGUCCUCAUUAAUUUUUUUGAGCAAAAAAAUUUGGGUGCUCCGUGGCGACAGAUCCAUGGGCGAAUACACAUGAAAAUCGAGGAAUUUAGGUAAUUCCUAAAAAAGAGUCUGUAAAUGCAGAAAUAGGCGUUAAUUUUUUUUUUGUGAGUAUACGUGGUGGUUUUCCCAACUCAUUACGGAGGUCCUCAUAAAGUUUUUUUAGAAAAAAUUUGGGUGCUCUGGGGCGCCAGAUCCAUGGGCUAAUACACAUGAAAAAACGAAGAGCUUUGGUAAUUCCUAAAAAAAGAGUCUAUAAAUGCGCAAAUGGGCAUUAAAAAUGGUGUCAAUUUACAUGGUUGUUCCCCAUCUCAUUACGGAGGUCCUCAUAAAGUGUUUUGAGGAAAAAUUUUGGGUGCUCCGCGGCGCCAGAUCCAUGGGCUAAUACACACGAAAAAUUGAGAAAUUUGGGUAAAUCCUAAAAAAGGGUCUGUAAAUGCAGAAAUGGGCGUUAAAAAUGGUGCGAGUAUACAUGGUGGUUCCCCAACUCAUUAAGGAAGUGCUUAUAAAGUUUUUUGAGAAAAAUAUUUUGGGUGCUCCGGGGCAAUAGAUUCAUAGACUAAUACACACGAAAAAUCAAGGAUUUUGGGUAAUUGCUAAAAAAGGUUUGUAAAUGCAUAAAUGAGCGUUAAAAAGGUGUGAGUAUACGUGGUGGUUCCCCAACUUAUUGCGGAGGCCUUCAUAAACUUUAUUGAGAAAAAUAUUUGGGUGCUCUAGGGCGCCAGAUCCUUGGGCUAAGAAACAAUCGAGGAAUUUGGGUAAUUCCUAAUUAAGGGACUGUAAAUGCGGAAAUAGGCGUUAAAAAUGGUAUGAUUUUACGUGGUGGUUCCCCGACUCAUUACGGAGGUCUUCAUAAAGUUCUAUGAGAAAAAAAUUUGGGUGCUCCAAGGUGCCAGAUCCAUGAGCUAAUAUUGAUGUGCCGUGAAAUCGUGGAACAUUUGACGCUCAAAAUGAAGGAUUAGUGUGAAAACUUGAGUGUGUUUAUAUGGAUAUAAUGUGUUUGUUAAUGCUUGAACAGGUAAAACAUUUGGACAUGAAAUAUAGAGAAAAAGAAAGAAAUUGAGCUGAAGCAAGCACCACGGAUCCCCAGACGGGCUGUGAAAGGCAAUCAUUUAAGUAAUCAAGAAACUACUCAACAACAUGGCCUCUAACACAUAAUAACUCUUGGGAGAGAAUUCCAAGAGUCGCUAUAACAUCCAUUGGUCUUAUGGCGUGCAAUUAUCAUCUCGUUGCAAUCUAUGGCUAGUCAACUAGGAGAUAGCGGUUAAACUCACUUCACUAGCAUCAUAAAUAAGGAGUAGACUUGUCUCAAUCUAGUUGUUAUACGGAGCAAAAAGUACAAGUGUUCAUUAGGUACAACUAAUAGAAUGAGUUACAUAAACACGGCCAUACGCUAACAGCCAUAAUAAACUAAAAGUCAGUGUAGCUCCCAACUUACCAACGAAUGGUAUAUACAUACAUCCACCCAAAUACAAAAGCAAGAAAAAAAGAUCUUACUACCAAAACUAUAGUUGCUCUUCAUUCUGCCCAAAUGAGGCAGCUGCAUACAACUUGCACCGCCAUCAAUGGCUCCCUUUGUUGUCUAACCAGCUCUGCAAGCUAUACAAGGCUUCUGCAGAGAAGCUGCAGCUCCAUAAUCUCCUUUGAUGCAUUGGUGAUAGCUCUUGAUGAUCAGGGGAAGUAAAGCAUACAAUAAUUACUGUGAGAUUGUCAAAUGUAUUGAGCCACAAGGCCUCGAUGACAAGGUCAUUGGCACACUGUUCAGGAUCAUCAUGUCGUCUUAGCCCUCGAUGCACUAGAGUAACUGCUUGUUGACUAGACAAGACAUCCCAGAUUCCAUUACAAGCAAUAAUAAGGAAUUCAUCCUCCUCUGUCAGAACUAUCUGUCGUCGAAAUUCUGGCUCUGCAGCUUCAUGUCCCAGUCACCCAAGGGCCUGGUCACUGAUAGUAUACCAUUCAGAUAGCCAUCAUCAAUAAAUCCACUUUCAACACGCCUCCUCUCUGAUGGAUAAUUUAGUCUGGUCUUGAGACUUGUCAAUUGCCUCUCCGUUGCGGCAAAGUACUGCUCGGCAGUCUCCUGCAUUUGCCACCAUUAAUAGCCUAAAACAGAAUAGAGUAUCAUUUAGAUAACAAGAAUACAAAUAUAUGCACAAAGCUAAGCAAUUGUUCCAUUGAACAGCCAGGUCAACUCUAAUGCUCACCCCCUCAGCAACUUCGUUGUAAAAUCAAUAUUUAUGGUACAAAACUUGGUGAAACAAAGUUUAGCAAAUUCAUAUAUACGGACCAUUUUCUCUCUCUCAUCUAUCAAGCAGCAUCCUUAGGUAAGGCUUAAGUAACUUACGAC
rnacentral:lncRNA from 1 species